UACGUAGGGGGCAAGCGUUGUCCGGAUUUAUUGGGCGUAAAGAGCGUGUAGGCGGCUUUACAGGUCCGUUGUGAAAACUCGAGGCUCAACCUCGAGACGCCGGUGGAAACCGUAAAGCUAGAGUCCGGAAGAGGAGAGUGGAAUUCCUGGUGUAGCGGUGAAAUGGCGCAGGAUAUCAGGAAGAACACCCGUGGCGAAGGCGGCUCUCUGGGACGGUACUGACGCUGAGACGCGAAAGCGUGGGGAGCGAACAG
rnacentral:rRNA from 1 species